CGAGUCAAAGCGCAUUCAGCUCCCUGUCUCUGGGUUCCUCAUCGCUCGCUUAGUCUGUCAGCCUUCAGUGUUCCUUUCAGCUCACUGGCACAGUGAGCUAGGGCAAAAUCCCAUUGAGUUCACUGGAACUGUUGUGUGACAGGAGGGUGAGCUUUGGACUGCAGAUUGCCUGGGGUGCUUGUAGGGCAGAAUUCCAGUGGGACAGCAUGUACCUCUUUUCUAAGGACAAGAUCAGGACCUGAGAACCAAACCACGUUGUCAUGUGAAGCUUGGCUGUGAAAAUACCUGUCUGCUGCUGUGCGAAAUUGCCAGCAGUUGGAACACCAACAGAUCAGUCUGUAGGAGCAAUGU
rnacentral:lncRNA from 1 species